AUUAAGUUCCCCGCCUGGGGAGUACGGCCGCAAGGCUAAAACUCAAAGGAAUUGACGGGGACCCGCACAAGCGGCGGAGCAUGCGGAUUAAUUCGAUGCAACGCGAAGAACCUUACCAAGGCUUGACAUAUACGAGAACGGGCCAGAAAUGGUCAACUCUUUGGACACUCGUAAACAGGUGGUGCAUGGUUGUCGUCAGCUCGUGUCGUGAGAUGUUGGGUUAAGUCCCGCAACGAGCGCAACCCUCGUUCUAUGUUGCCAGCACGUAAUGGUGGGAACUCAUGGGAUACUGCCGGGGUCAACUCGGAGGAAGGUGGGGAUGACGUCAAAUCAUCAUGCCCCUUAUGUCUUGGGCUUCACGCAUGCUACAAUGGCCGAUACAAAGGGCUGCGAUACCGCGAGGUGGAGCGAAUCCCAAAAAGUCGGUCUCAGUUCGGAUUGGGGUCUGCAACUCGACCCCAUGAAGUCGGAGUCGCUAGUAAUCGCAGAUCAGCAACGCUGCGGUGAAUACGUUCCCGGGCCUUGUACACACCGCCCGUCAAGUCAUGAAAGUCGGUAACACCCGAAGCCGGUGGCCUAACCUUUUUGGAGGGAGCCGUCGAAGGUGGGACUGGUGAUUAGGACUAAGUCGUAACAAGGUAGCCGUACCGGAAGGUGCGGCUG
rnacentral:rRNA from 1 species